rnacentral:rRNA from 1 species
UACGAAGGGGACUAGCGUUGUUCGGAAUCACUGGGCGUAAAGCGCACGUAGGCGGAUAUGUCAGUCAGGGGUGAAAUCCCGGGGCUCAACCUCGGAAUUGCCUUCAAAACUGGAUAUCUUGAGUUCGGGAGAGGUGAGUGGAACUCCGAGUGUAGAGGUGAAAUUCGUAGAUAUUCGGAAGAACACCAGUGGCGAAGGCGACUCACUGGCCCGAUACUGACGCUGAGGCGCGAAAGCGUGGGGAGCAAACAGG